rnacentral:rRNA from 1 species
UACAGAGGGUGCGAGCGUUGUUCGGAAUUACUGGGCGUAAAGGGCUCGUAGGCGGCCAACUAAGUCGGAUGUGAAAUCCCCAGGCUUAACCUGGGAACUGCAUCCGAUACUGGAUGGCUUGAAUCCGGGAGAGGGAUGCAGAAUUCCAGGUGUAGCGGUGAAAUGCGUAGAUAUCUGGAGGAAUACCGGUGGCGAAGGCGGCAUCCUGGACCGGCAUUGACGCUGAUGAGCGAAAGCUGGGGGAGCAAACGGG